rnacentral:sRNA from 1 species
CUCUGGUUUUUCCACCAGAGUUUAGUAGGACGUUGAUUGGGAAAAUUUUUACCGCAAUUCUUCAUACACUGUAGAUAAGUUGACAAGAAAAAAAAAACCUUAGUGCUUCUUGCUUGCCCCCAGAUUUUUCUUCCUUUUUUUGUUUUCAGUUUAUAAUCGUUCCAUAACAAGUGUGCAAGAUUUGUGAUAUGAUAAACGGUCUCAAAAAUGUAAACUAUUAUAUGACUUUACUUGAUGAAGAAUUCAUGUUGUAAAUGUGGGCUGUUGUACAAAUUGUUUUGUACCUGCAAAGAAAAACAUUAUGAUGCAGCCUGAUCGUCAAAUAAAAUCAAUACCAAU